rnacentral:rRNA from 1 species
CGGCGGACGGGUGAGUAACACGUGGAUAACCUACCUAUAAGACUGGGAUAACUUCGGGAAACCGGAGCUAAUACCGGAUAAUAUUAUUGAACCGCAUGGUUCAAUAGUGAAAGACGGUUUUGCUGUCACUUAUAGAUGGAUCCGCGCCGCAUUAGCUAGUUGGUAAGGUAACGGCUUACCAAGGCAACGAUGCGUAGCCGACCUUAGAGGGUGAUCGGCCACACUGGAACUGAGACACGGUCCAG